rnacentral:rRNA from 1 species
GAUGAACGCUAGCGGCAGGCCUAACACAUGCAAGUCGAGGGGUAGGGCAGCAACGCCUGAGACCGGCGCACGGGUGCGUAACGCGUAUGCAACCUACCUUUUACAGGGGAAUAGCCCAGAGAACUGUGGAUUAAUGCCCCAUGGUAUAUUUGAGUGGCAUCACUUGAUGAUUAAAGUUCCAACGGCAAAAGAUGGGCAUACGUCCUAUUAGCUAGAUGGUAAGGUAACGGCUUACCAGGGCUACGAGAGGUAGGGGUCCUGAGAGGGAGAUCCCCCACACUGGUAAUGAGACACGGACCAGACUCCUACGGGAGGCAGCAGUGAGGAAUAUUGGACAAUGGGCGCAAGCCUGAUCCAGCCAUGCCGCGUGCAGGAAGAAGCAUCUAUGGUGUGUAAACUGCUUUUGUACGGGAAGAAACACCCCUUCGUGAAGGGACUUGACGGUACCGUAAGAAUAAGGAUCGGCUAACUCCGUGCCAGCAGCCGCGGUAAAAC